rnacentral:rRNA from 1 species
UACAGAGGUCUCAAGCGUUGUUCGGAUUCAUUGGGCGUAAAGGGUGCGUAGGCGGCGCGGUAAGUCGGGUGUGAAAUCUCGGAGCUUAACUCCGAAACUGCAUUCGAUACUGCCGUGCUUGAGGACUGGAGAGGAGACUGGAAUUUACGGUGUAGCGGUGAAAUGCGUAGAUAUCGCAAGGAAUACCAGAGGCGAAGGCGGCUACCUGGACAAUUGCUGACGCUCAGGCACGAAAGCGUGGGGAGCAAAAGGG